rnacentral:lncRNA from 1 species
GGAUGGCCCACAAGUUCUUCCUCCCCUGCUCCAACUCUUGGUCGCUGUAAGGCACUGUAACCUGCGUGGGGGAAGUUCUCCUUAGAGCUCAUGAUUCCAGGAGCGAAGAGGUUGUCAGAACACAUCAGCUCCAUCCCCAGGACCAUCAUCACCG